AGUGGCGAACGGGUGAGUAAAAGAUAAGUAACCUGCCCUAGGCAGGGGGAUAACGACCGGAAACGGACGCUAAAACCGCAUAGGCUGGGAGAUCGCAUGAGAAUCCAGUUAAAUGUCCUGAAAGGGACAGGCAAAGGAGGGACUUAUCACGCAUUAGCUAGUUGGUGGGGCAACGGCCUACCAAGGCGACGAUGCGUAGCCGGCCUGAGAGGGCGGACGGCCACACUGGGACUGAGACACGGCCCAGACUCCUACGGAAGGCAGCAG
rnacentral:rRNA from 1 species